rnacentral:rRNA from 1 species
AAAAUACGACUCUCGGCAACGGAUAUCUCGGCUCUUGCAUCGAUGAAGAACGUAGCGAAAUGCGAUACUUGGUGUGAAUUGCAGAAUCCCGUGAACCAUCGAGUCUUUGAACGCAAGUUGCGCCCGAAGCCGUCAGGCCGAGGGCACGUCUGCCUGGGCGUCACG